rnacentral:sRNA from 1 species
UCCAGCAUCACGAUGCCAUCACUGGCACAGCCAAGGAGGCUGUGGUGGUGGACUAUGGGGUCAGGCUUCUGCGCUCCCUUGUCAACCUGAAGCAGGUCAUCAUUCAUGCAGCCCACUAUCUGGUGCUGGGGGACAAGGAGACCUACCACUUUGACCCUGAGGCGCCCUUCCUCCAAGUGGUGAGCCCCUCCUGGGUCUGCAUGGGGACCCUCUGGUGUGUGCAGGUCCCAUCCCAAGAGCUGCUGGAUGGGGGUGCCACUUCUUUUUCCUUCCCCGUCCGGAUGAGUUCUGUGCCCAGCGCAGCGCUGGUCCACACCCGGGACAGGUGGGGUGGGAGGAGGCUGAGCCCAUGAUGGUUCUUCCCUUCCGGCCCACUGAAUUCCAGGAUGACACUCGCUUAAGUCACGACGCCCUCCCAGAGCGCACGGUGAUCCAGCUGGAUUCCUCGCCCAGGUAACCUGGACUAUGCCAUGUGCAGAGAGGCAGAGCCAUUCCUGGCUCUCAGGCCCCUCUGCCCCGGCAUGUGCUGAACCAGUGCAGGGCGCUUGCCCUGGCCUGAAGCAGCAGCCUCCUGGGUCAGCCCACCUUCUACGCACAGGUUUGUGGUCCUAUUCAACCCGCUGGAACAGGAGCGAUUCA